GUGCCAGCAGCCGCGGUAAUACGUAGGGGGCAAGCGUUGUCCGGAUUUAUUGGGCGUAAAGAGCGUGUAGGCGGCUUUACAGGUCCGUUGUGAAAACUCGAGGCUCAACCUCGAGACGCCGGUGGAAACCGUAAAGCUAGAGUCCGGAAGAGGAGAGUGGAAUUCCUGGUGUAGCGGUGAAAUGCGCAGAUAUCAGGAAGAACACCCGUGGCGAAGGCGGCUCUCUGGGACGGUACUGACGCUGAGACGCGAAAGCGUGGGGAGCGAACAGGAUUAGAUACCCUGGUAGUCC
rnacentral:rRNA from 1 species